CGCGCGCGAUCCUUCCGCCGCCCGCCCCACACAGGAAGUGCCGCGCCGGCUCCCGCCGCCGCAGCGGCAGCUGAGCGGGGCCGCCCGCGGGAAGGGGGAGCCGCCGGGCACCGCCGGCCCGCACGGGCAGCGCCGGCCCGCCCGCCCCGGCCCGCAGGCACCCGCGGGCACGGACACAGAGGGUCAGGGCGCAGCGCGGCCCGUCCCGGCGCUGCCCCGAGCGCCUUCCCGUCCGCCUCCACGCAGCCCCCGCACACCGGCACCGACGUGCCCCGGGCACCAGGAUAAGCCUGACAGUCCCCACUGACGCAGGAACAAGUUUUCUCCUUGGCGAGUCCCUACGUUCAGUAACAAUUCGCCAGACAGCCUCAGUCCUCCUCUCCUGCAAUCCACAAUCCACCUCGUCUCCUGAAUAGCAGCAGGGCUGAUUCCAAGGGAACUUUAGGGUUGUGUGCUCUCCCAUCUGAAGAACACCUGCUUCAGUGACACCACAGCAUUCCCUGCCAGGCCUCUGGAGUGCUGCAGCUGGACAGACACCAGUCAGGAGAACACACCCUCCACAUGUGCCUGUCCAUUCCCUGUGCCGAUCACUCCCAGGGUAAAACUUCAGAGCUGCAUGCAAAGAGCAGCUACCCCGAGAUAAGCAAAGCAUGUCCAACGGGGAGCUAUGCAUGGAGAUUACACGCAGGAAUUCCUUCAUUGACACCACACGCACCUGAAUAGGCCCAUAUUGUUAAGCCAAGGAUCAAGCAAACACCUGCCUAAAGAGAAUUCCUUCCUUCCACGUACACCACAGCUCCAUUAAAAGCAGGUGAAGGGCUGCAACCUGACAAUACAGAACCUCUUCCCCUCUCAAGUUCUAGUAGUCCUAGGACCUAGAUCACAAGCAACAAUUCAGAAGCAUUUUUCCCCACCACAGAAAUCACAAAAUAGUAUCCAGCAUAAAUGACCUCCAGCUGGUAAAUUCAGUGCUUCAAACUUUUGACAAAUCAUACUCCUAACACUACAAUGCCCAAGGCUUUUUAGGAUACAUUUUAAUGACUGUAUUUAUAUAUAAUAUUUAUAACGCACAAACAAAAAUUCAGGCGUUUUGUAGACUUCACUCAUCCAUUCCUGGCUGUAAGGAAAUAAAUUUGUUCAUCACCAUCAGAUAAGCAAGACCUCCAAGCAACAUCAUUCAUUCUCACAUUAAAGACCUAUCUAAGGGUAAGUCUGUGCUAAAGUUUUGCCAGCCAGAGCUCUUCCCAACCAGAAGCAUGGACAAAAAAGGCAAGUAUCCAGCUGUGAUGGCAAAAAGCUCUCAUGCAAAUCCAGCUUUGCCAAAAGCAGAGUGCUCCUGUCAGCUUUUGUUAUUCAGAGAGGUGCAGCACCAGUGCUAGCAAGAAUUCCUUCCGUCAGCAUAUUUCCACUAGGGGACUCUGCUGUAUCCUCCAGCAGAAAUUUUCCUAGUGGAGACAAGCCCAAGGACAAGGAAAGUCAUUUUAAGUAGGCGCACACUUAAAUGUGCAAUAAAACUUAAUAGUCCUUCAUUAAAACAUCCUCAAAUUGAAGUGGAAACCUCACCCAGUGUAGUUUAGCAACACCGUAAGGUUCAGCUUAAAUACAGAGUACUGCAAUAACCACGUACUCCUGUCACUUUGUCCCAUGUACCUACUGUUGCUGAAAGUUGUAAUUUACCCAUACUUCAAAGCCAUUUAGCCCACAGCAGUAAAAUACAGUUUAGAAGUUUGCCUGUUUAGAUCCAGGUCAAAACGUGCACUGAGACACUAAAUACCCUUGAAGAUCCAGACCUGUGUCAAUAGGAGUUCACACUUCCAUACUUUGGAAAAGGUACCUUCAUAGUUUUUUCCUUUAUUGAUUGCUAUGUAAUUCAGUGAGCCUUGUUUACUGAUUGCAACUUUUAGUCAUAAACUGAAGUGUUUGACUCAUAUCCAAUGAAUUUUUGCCUGGGAUACGUGGACUCCUUGAAUAAGUGCAUUCAAGCAAUGUGCACUAUGUAACUUUUGACAAACAUCAUGUGUCCAAAAUUAAAGGAAAAAAUGAGCAUAAACCAUCAAGCUCUUGGUUUAAUAGCAGUUUUCUAGGCAGCAUUUAUUUACUACUGCAAGCACAGAUUUAGCACAGUGUUUGCCAGCUCACAAGAAAUGGACUUGAACAGCUGCACUCAGUAUAUUCUGAGUCUUUGCUCUCUCUGAUCUCACAUAGAGAGAAUAUCACUGGAUGCCUGAGGGGUUCCAAUCUCUUGAAAAGAGUCCAAGCCUGGGCACUUUCAAGAUUAAUAUGUAAAAAACUACAACAAAUCUAUGUAGUGAUCAUUUUGAUCUGUGCACACCUUAUAUAGUAUUACAUAUAUAGACAUAUAUGUCUUUAAGGAGGAAUGCAACUUUCUCUGGAAGUUCUGCAGUUUCAUCUGUUUAUAUGAUUUUAGUAUUUCAUGCUGAAUGCUAAUUGAUUUGUCAUGCUAAUAAAAUCUUAUUAUUUCAGGGAAAAAAGAGAGUCAACAGGGGAAAAAGUAAACAUGCACUUAACUUUGUAACCUAUUUUUAAGCCUCCUUUCUAGGCAAAAGGCUAACAAAGAGGGCUACAAAGUCUACUCAGUGGGUGGCCCAAUGAAGCAAGACAUAUUUACUGUAAUGGAACAGGGCCACAGGAAAUUGCAGAUGUACUUAUGUUUCUCUGGCAUGAAAAAAGCAGAAAAAAAAUAUAGAUUAACAGAUCCCCAACAGCAUCAGUCUUUGUCAGACAGAAAUAUAUUUAUUAACCUAUUUUUUGUUGGUUUGUUUGUUUUACUGUUAGAGAAUACAAAGAUUCAGCUGCAUUGUAAUUUUUUUAAACAAGCUCAGCUGUCAAGAUAGCCAGGUACCCCUACAUGCUCAUCACAUCUACAUUUACCAAGUGCCAGACAAAAAAAAAAAAAACAAAAUGUUUAAUAUGGACAACUUUGUUCACAUUAAAGGAAAUGUGUCACUUCUUUGCAAUAUACACAUUUAAACCUCAUCCUGAUUGUUUUGAAAAAGUGAAAGACAGCUGAAGAAAAGCAGCUGGAUGUGAUUAAAUGCAUCCAAGACAGCAGAUAUAAAUUCAGAAUACAAAGAACUGGUAGGUUCCAGCAGAUUUGCAGAAGUGGACUGGAAUAAGAUCAUCAAUUAUCUUAAGCAUCUCUUUGAACAGUCCUCAAGACUAGUAGAGCAUUCAGUGGCUAUGGAGGAAUUGUCAAUCUCCACUCCCAUAGUCGCCUAUGGGAAGCUGCCUUUCCCACAGUUCUCACAAAUAUGAUGAAAAUAUUCCCUGAUAAUAGCCUGUAGUUUCUCUUGGAAAAAUACUUCACAAGUAUUGUAACUUGAAAUGCUAAAAGUGCAACCUUCCAAUGGCACCUUUGUCCUCCACUAACAGCAAAUGAUUAACCAGAAAGGAAAACCUGUGUGCAUUUAAUGACUUUUAGCCACAGAGGAUGUAGCUGUAUUCUAGUAAGACCUACCCUGGGAAAAGGCAAUUAUUAUAAAGCAGUUGCUUAUUCUUA